rnacentral:rRNA from 1 species
CAAGUCGAGCGAAGCACUUGCCAUUGACUCUUCGGAAGAUUUGGCAUUUGACUGAGCGGCGGACGGGUGAGUAACGCGUGGGUAACCUGCCUCAUACAGGGGAAUAACAGUUAGAAAUGGCUGCUAAUGCCGCAUAAGCGCACAGGACCGCAUGGUCUGGUGUGAAAAACUGAGGUGGUAUGAGAUGGGCCCGCGUCUGAUUAGGUAGUUGGCGGGGUAACGGCCCACCAAGCCGACGAUCAGUAGCCGACCUGAGAGGGUGACCGGCCACAUUGGGACUGAGACACGGCCCAGACUCCUACGGGAGGCAGCAGUGGGGAAUAUUGCACAAUGGAGGAAACUCUGAUGCAGCGACGCCGCGUGAAGGAAGAAGUAUCUCGGUAUGUAAACUUCUAUCAGCAGGGAAGAAAAUGACGGUACCUGACUAAGAAGCCCCGGCUAACUACGUGCCAGCAGCCGCGGUAAUACGUAGGGGGCAAGCGUUAUCCGGAUUUACUGGG